rnacentral:rRNA from 1 species
AUUGAACGCUGGCGGCAUGCUUUACACAUGCAAGUCGAACGGUAACAGGUUAAGCUGACGAGUGGCGAACGGGUGAGUAAUGCAUCGGAACGUGCCCGGUCGUGGGGGAUAACGCAGCGAAAGCUGCGCUAAUACCGCAUACGAUCUGAGGAUGAAAGCGGGGGACCGUAAGGCCUCGCGCGAUCGGAGCGGCCGAUGUCAGAUUAGGUAGUUGGUGGGGUAAAGGCUCACCAAGCCAACGAUCUGUAGCUGGUCUGAGAGGACGACCAGCCACACUGGGACUGAGACACGGCCCAGGCUCAUACGGGAGGCAGCAGUGGGGAAUUUUGGACAAUGGGCGAAAGCCUGAUCCAGCAAUGCCGCGUGCAGGAAGAAGGCCUUCGGGUUGUAAACUGCUUUUGUACGGAGCGAAAAGGUCUCCUCUAAUACAGGGGGCUCAUGACGGUACCGUAAGAAUAAGCACCGGCUAACUACGUGCCAGCCGCCGCAGUAA